rnacentral:rRNA from 1 species
UACGUAGGGUGCGAGCGUUAAUCGGAAUUACUGGGCGUAAAGCGUGCGCAGGCGGUUCGUUGUGUCGGCGGUGAAAGCCCCGGGCUCAACCUGGGAAUGGCCGUUGAAACUGGCGAACUGGAGUGUGGCAGAGGGGGGUGGAAUUCCGCGUGUAGCAGUGAAAUGCGUAGAGAUGCGGAGGAACACCUAUUGCGAAGGCAGCUUACUACGCCUAUAUUGACGCUGAGGCACGAAAGCGUGGGGAUCAAACAGG